rnacentral:lncRNA from 1 species
AAGGUUAUUGGAUCAAGAUCUUGAGGGACCUUCUCUUUGUUAGCAGUUUGAGUGUCUGCAUCAACAGAAGGAAUUAUUGUGUGAUAGUUUGUUGUAACCAAAAUUCUUGUAUCAAACUUAUCAAAAUAGUGAAAGAUCGUGAUUAUUUUCUAGUGGUUAAUUAACACCAUUGAAGAUUAGAGCAGGAAAAGCAAGGACGAACUUUGAACCACUAUAUAUCUUUG